AACGAACGCUGGCGGCAGGCUUAACACAUGCAAGUCGAGCGCCCCGCAAGGGGAGCGGCAGACGGGUGAGUAACGCGUGGGAACGUACCCUUUGCUACGGAAUAGCUCCGGGAAACUGGAAUUAAUACCGUAUGUACCCUACGGGGUCAAGAUUUAUCGGCAAAGGAACGGCCCGCGUUGGAUUAGCCAGUUGGUGGGGUAAUGGCCUACCAAGGCGACGAUCCGUAGCUGGUCUGAGAGGAUGAUCAGCCACAUUGGGACUGAGACACGGCCCAAACUCCUACGGGAGGCAGCAGUGGGGAAUAUUGGACAAUGGGCGCAAGCCUGAUCCAGCCAUGCCGCGUGAGUGAUGAAGGCCUUAGGGUUGUAAAGCUCUUUCACCGGAGAAGAUAAUGACGGUAUCCGGAGAAGAAGCCCCGGCUAACUUCGUGCCAGCAGCCGCGGUAACAC
rnacentral:rRNA from 1 species